rnacentral:rRNA from 1 species
GCAGGGAAACAGAUGGACCCACGAAGUCUUGUUGGUGAUGUGGUUCAUUUAGUGUUGAUAUCGUGAGGAUGUUGUUGGAUGAAGUUCUUUCAUCUACUUCACUCUCAAUCAAUGGUAUCAACACUGAUGCAUUUCACAUCACCACGUUGGAGCUCUGACCUCUAGAUAUGAGAUGUCUAGUGUUGUGCUUAGUGUUUGUGCACUGCUACUUCACGGUAACGGUGUACUCUACUUUGUGCAUGAUCUCUUCGUCUAUCAUCUAGAGGGUGAAUUGCAUUGAUCUUCUUCAAUGUUUCAUUCAGAUUGUCUAUA